rnacentral:rRNA from 1 species
GAUGAACGCUGGCGGCGUGCCUAAUACAUGCAAGUCGAGCGAACAGACGAGGAGCUUGCUCCUCUGACGUUAGCGGCGGACGGGUGAGUAACACGUGGAUAACCUACCUAUAAGACUGGGAUAACUUCGGGAAACCGGAGCUAAUACCGGAUAAUAUAUUGAACCGCAUGGUUCAAUAGUGAAAGACGGUUUUGCUGUCACUUAUAGAUGGAUCCGCGCCGCAUUAGCUAGUUGGUAAGGUAACGGCUUACCAAGGCAACGAUGCGUAGCCGACCUGGGAGGGGGAUCGGGCACCCUGGAACUGGGACACCGGCCCGAACCCCACGGGAGGCAGCAGUAGGGAAUCUUUCGCAAUGGGGCAAAGGUUGACGGAGCAACGCCCGGGGAGUGAAGAAGGUUUUCCGAUCGUAAAACCCUUUUAUUAGGGAAAAACAAAAUGGGAAGGAAAUAUGCACGUCUUGACGGGACCUAAACAAAAAGCCCCCGCUAACCACGUG